CUUUCGGGGCGAAGAAUAUAGAAGUUAGUGGCGGACGGGUGCGUAACGCGUGGGUAAUCUGCCUUUGUCAAAGGAAUAACUAUUCGAAAGAAUAGCUAAAACCGUAUAACAUAUUAAUAGGGCAUCCUAAUAAUAUCAAAACGAUAGUGGACAAAGAUGAGCCCGCGUCUGAUUAGCUAGUUGGUGAGAUAAAAGCCCACCAAGGCAACGAUCAGUAGCCGACCUGAGAGGGUGAACGGCCACAUUGGAACUGAGACACGGUCCAAACUCCUACGGGAGGCAGCAGUGGGGAAUAUUGCACAAUGGGGGGAACCCUGAUGCAGCAACGCCGCGUGAGUGAAGAAGGCAUUCGUGUCGUAAAACUCUGUAGUAGGGGAAGAAAGAAAUGACAGUACCCUAAAAGAAGCCCCGC
rnacentral:rRNA from 1 species